UGGGGAAUAUUGCACAAUGGAGGGAACUCUGAUGCAGCGACGCCGCGUGAACGAAGAAGGCUUUCGAGUCGUAAAGUUCUUUUAUAUGGGAAGAUAAUGACGGUACCAUAAGAAAAAGCCUCGGCUAACUACGUGCCAGCAGCCGCGGUAAUACGUAGGGGGCUAGCGUUGUCCGGAAUCACUGGGCGUAAAGGGUUCGCAGGCGGAAAUGCAAGUCAGGUGUAAAAGGCAGUAGCUUAACUACUGUAAGCAUUUGAAACUGCAUAUCUUGAGAAGAGUAGAGGUAAGUGGAAUUUUUAGUGUUGCGGUGAAAUGCGUAGAUAUUAAAAAGAAUACCGGUGGCGAAGGCGACUUACUGGGCUCAUUCUGACGCUGAGGAACGAAAGCGUGGGUAGCAAACAGG
rnacentral:rRNA from 1 species